rnacentral:rRNA from 1 species
CGAGGGGUAUAGUUCUUCGGAAUUAGAGACCGGCGCACGGGUGCGUAACGCGUAUGUAAUCUACCUUUCACAGAGGGAUAGCCCAGAGAAAUUUGGAUUAAUACCUCAUAGUAUAAUGACUCGGCAUCGAGAUAUUAUUAAAGUCACAACGGUGAAAGAUGAGCAUGCGUCCCAUUAGCUAGUUGGUAAGGUAACGGCUUACCAAGGCUACGAUGGGUAGGGGUCCUGAGAGGGAGAUCCCCCACACUGGUACUGAGACACGGACCAGACUCCUACGGGAGGCAGCAGUGAGGAAUAUUGGACAAUGGGCGCAAGCCUGAUCCAGCCAUGCCGCGUGCAGGAUGACGGUCCUAUGGAUUGUAAACUGCUUUUGCACAGGAAGAAACAACGCUACGUGUAGCGUCUUGACGGUACUGUGAGAAUAAGGAUCGGCUAACUCCGUGCCAGCAGCCGCGGUAAUACGGAGGAUCCAAGCGUUAUCCGGAAUCAUUGGGUUUAAAGGGUCCGUAGGCGGUUUAGUAAGUCAGUGGUGAAAGCCCAUCGCUCAACGGUGGAACGGCCAUUGAUACUGCUAGACUUGAAUUAUUAGGAAGUAACUAGAAUAUGUAGUGUAGCGGUGAAAUGCUUAGAGAUUACAUGGAAUA